rnacentral:lncRNA from 1 species
UGGGAGAUUUGUUAGAUUUUUUUUCCAUUUUCAUAGUCAUGGAUCAUACAACUUAAAGAAAUGCAGGUAAAAUUGACUUACUGUAUCUUUUGCCUAAUUAUAAAUCCCACAGUCAGACCGUUUAUUAACCAUACUAAUGCUAGAAAUGCAAUUCAAAAUCUGAUUCUAUAAACACAAAGGCUAGUCUUCAAACUGGAAAGCAUGAUUUCAUCCUACUCGAUAUAAUUAAAGAACUCUCAAUGUCCUUUUGAUGGGAUGGCAAAUGACAGGCUUUGGCGACUUCCUUUCCAUUAUGGCUGUCACAUGAUGUAUGGGAUGCACCAAGUGAUUCCGUUUCCCAGAACUUCACUGUAGUAAUGAUGGCCCACGUCAGCCGUGUCCCCUUAACAUAUGAAAGGACGUAAGAUUAUCCGUUUGGAGCUGGAAACUAAAAAAGACCAUUUGGAUGAUGUUGCAGUGAGCAUCUCAUUUGAGUCUGGAAUUUAACUCUACCACGUAGGUGUGCAAUUACACACUUUGGAACAGCAAACGCACUUUUACACAUCGGGCAUGGAAAUCCUGUUGGUUCUGUUUUGCCCAGUUUUCCAUGAUUAUUUCCUCAGACUAUAACACUAUGAAGGCUCUGCUUAAGUUUUUAUGAAAACUUUAUGGACCCUUAUUCUGCAGCAAAGACCACCAUGCUUUAGCAACGAAGACCUAUUGAACUUAAAAAUAAUGAAAAGAGUCAAGACAUGAAACAGAAGAUAGACUUUCUCCCUAAAUUGUACCAGUUAUUGGAAUCCUCUUUUAAGGAUGGAAUUGUCAUUGGUUCAUAGGUGUCUAGAUUUAGAAACUUCCAGAAAUAUUCUUUUUUCUCUCCUACCAAGUUGGAAAUUCCAUCACAGCCGUUUUAUCGCAAUGCUCAACGAUGCCAGGGUUUUCAUGUUCCUUUCCUCAUGCCCGACACUAUUUGUUACAUUAUUCAUUUCUCAAUUGCUUCAUUCCUUAUUAUUUAUAUCAUGUUACCUCAAGCACUUUGUGAAAAGAGUCUUGGUGUACAGUUUUUAAAUAUGAAUGUUGAUCAAACAUCAUUAAAAGGUUCUUCUAGCCCUCCUUGUUAGAGAAGUAAUGCUCCAUCAGAGUUCAACACUCCAAGUUAUACAUACUCAAAUAGUCCAAAUGCCAAUUAAAACAUCUUCAGGAUAACAGAAUAGAAUUGGAGAAGUUAACACUUCUAGUUCUAAGAUUUCCCUUACAAAUUGAAAUAGAAAAAAAU